rnacentral:tRNA from 1 species
AUCUAAUUAGUUUUAAAAAAAAAUAUUAAGUUGUGGAUUUAAAGAUAUAAUUGAAUUAUAUUAGGUA